AAAGCUCAGGAACGCACGUAGGUAUUAAUAGAUUUAAAUUGUCUUAAAAGAAAAUGGAUAACAUCAUGAGGAAUACAUUAAUUAGCUGAUAUAAUGGCAUAUUCAAUUUAAGCCUUGUUCAAAGUAUGAGCAUCCACCAAUUCCACUUAAACCUUUUAGAUGUCAAUGUAUGCUAUCAUGGGUCAUACCUCUACUUUUGUUGUACCAGACUAUUAAUAGCUUGUAUUUCAGAGGAUAAAUGUUUUG
rnacentral:misc_RNA from 1 species